rnacentral:lncRNA from 1 species
GACGGGUGAUAAUAGGAAAAUGUCGUGCACUGGGGCGAAACACAAGCGCACAAUGAUCAUGACAAUGGCGGGAAAGUUUGAAUAGCUGCAGUGAGGCAGGCGAGAGUGAACGUAUUUCGCAAACGGGAAUAUUGAACCAGCAAGCAAGUAACAACAACAAUAUCAGUGCAUGCUGAGAGAAGUGACAUGUGUUCUAAAAAUAAAAGAAGACAUCCGACAGAUGUUAUUUUCCUGGUAUUACUGCGUGCGAGACAGGGAAAAGGAUAGAAACUUCAGGAAGCUGAUCUCGGGAAAGAUAGUUUGGUGGUAACCAGGGGAUGAAUGUGAGAGGUGCUUUAGUCUCCGUCUUCAACAGUGGUGAGAUCCUACUUGUUUAACGUACAGUGCUCAAAGGUUUUCCUUUCGGGGCAAGAAUCAUCCAGCAUGGUGUCGAUCGAGUCUUAUACCUCUCAAUGCGUGUAUAACCUGAGCCACAAUUGGAAGUGAGAUAUAGACAUACUUUCGAUCGAGUACAUCACCAUCCAUGCGGCCUGGUCAGCGACCGGAUCAGCGAGGAACGGAGCAGCAGAUGUAAUGAGCACGAAUGCCUGUGAGCAAGCAACCAGGGGACCUACGGCUUAAGGUCCUCUCCGAGGGACCUGGUAAUGAGGAUAAAUGCCCUACCAAAGGGCACUAGUGCACCACUUGGAAAUCGAACCCGGGUCACCGGAAUCCGAAACCCCCGCUCUAUACCGACUGAGCUAUCGCGCCAGAUGAUGAUCAGGAGAUGAUGGCGGGUCAGGUGAUGGAGAGCAGAAUGUUGCUUUGGAAGGCAUCCUGUGGUUAUCUUGUGGUGAGAUGAGAUCCGCAUGCAGUUUUACCAUGAGAAGGAAUAGGAUGUGGACGUGUAUUUCAUCCUAAUGAUGAGACCAUGCCGAUACCAUGAUUGGAAGGUUCACCCGAUGCAGUCUCAUCAUUGUGAGAGGUGAUCAAGGUUCCAGUUGGUGCCGGUCCGCCAGUCCGAGCAGGAGUCCGUGGAACUUCAAAUGACAAGGCCGGAAUAUGCCAGAAGAUGUUAAGGGUUGUUUUGCAACCAUUGUGUUUUAAGAUCUUCUGUGCACCAUAAAAAAAAAGAAAAUAAGGCACUGGGCUGCAAAACAAUGCUGAAAUACUCUUGUAUUCUCAAACGACCACAUCUUGUUAGGGCAAGGACAAAAAUUACUGUCUCAUUUUGUUUUUCCCCCAAUUUCAUCACCGCGCAUAUUAGCUAUAUCAUAAGGCAUUCUUUUGCCAAUCAUAAGUUAUUAGUGAAACACGAUUAUUUUAAAUGAAAGUCGAUGCAGACUAACCUGUAGACACUAGAUAACAUGAUUAUUUGUGCGACUUUUAGCCCAAAAUGGGGUAUUCUGUCCAAAAAGUCCCAUCCGGACUCGGUAGUCCGCGUAGUUAUACUUUAUUCGACUUUAUAUACGUCUCUAUGAACAGUUUUACAUUAUAUGCAACAAAAUUAGAAUGAUUAGUGACGAAAAACGAACAUUUUUUAAGUGAAAUUAGACGCGCAGUGUACUCUGAUUGUAAAACAACCCUUAAAGUAGGAUUCAGUAGAAUAAAAUUGAUCAACCAAAUCACUUCAUCUUCCAUGAAUGCGGCAACUUUUUACUCUUUUUCAUAUUUACCGGUAUUAUUUUCACGGCACUAUUUAAAAAACACUAAAAAAAAGCACGAUAUUACAAAAAACUGUCUAUCUUGUGAAAAUUUGCAUUUUACACAUUACCUGUAUGUCGAUGCUGAUUGAAUUCU